AUGCGUAUGAUAAUUAAAAAUCAAGUUUUGCAUAGUUAUGCACAUGAUAAUUAAAAUCCAAAUCUUACAUAGCUACAAGAUUAACUUAAGAUAAUACUAAAAAAAAAAAAACUAGUUGAAUAUCAACAUUAAUUAACCCCCUUUUCAUUCACUUAUCAAUCUUCAAAGAGCCUUCAGAAUGUUCCAAACCUUCAAUUCAAUCUUGAAAAAUUGCCAGAUUGAACAUCAUCUCAAUCUAAGCUUCAAAUCUGGGCCAUUUGGAUCAUUGUUACAUUUCAAUCGAAGCUCCAAAUCUAUGUCAUUCGAACCAUCAUUGUGAUCAUUAGAGAUUUCCACGAGAUCAUCAAUCAUAUUGAAUAUCUGUUAAAAGAGGGGGAAGGAAAAAAAUGUGUGAGUAAUUGUAUGUAGAAAAUAACAAUUAUUAAAUAUAUUAAUAAGUGCAUAUCUGAUCCUCAGGAAUUCAUUUCAUAUUUGAAGGUUUGAACAUGAAUACAUAAAAUAUUGUUAAAGAGUUCGACCAACAUAUAAUUAAUUAAUAAAAAAUAAAAAGAAAAAUUACCUAAAAUCACAACAUAACUAUCUAAACUUCUUAAAAUCCCCCCACUUCUUAAAAAUUACUUAAAUCCCAACAUUUCAUAUUUUUUACUAUUUCUGAGAUACAAGUUAGCCCUACAUGUAUCUAAUGUAUGUAACUAUUGUGAUACAAGUUAAUCACAUUAGAUACAUGUAUCAGCAAUAUGUAUCUAAUGUAAUUAACUUGUAUCAUCAGAGGUCAAAUAUUGAGAUUUUAGGAAAUUUUGAAAGAUAUUGGAAUUUAUAGUAAUUAAUAGUAAACAUGUCGGUAUAUAUAUAAAAUUAACAAAAAAAAAAAAAAAAAAAAAAAAAAAAAAAAAACCCUGACCUCUUCACUAAAGCUAGCAUUCUCAUUUGAAAAGUCUGGUAGUAUAUUUUGUUCUUGUUGAGCAUUAAUACAAUUAGCACAAAUCUGUUUGUUCAACUCUGAAUACAUUUGCAAAAUCUCUAAAUGCAAUCUUUCAUUUUUCAGACGAAGAAUCUCACGUUCUUUCAUAUCCCUUUGAGCCUGAAAUUUAUGUAAUUUAAUAUGAUCAUAUAUUUUAUUUUUAAAAAAAGUGGUCCGAUGCACUAAAUUAAAGCUCUACUCUGUGCUUAGAAGGGAUCGGACCGAUCAUAAGAGUCUAUUAUACACAGCCUCGCCUUACAAUUCUGUAAGGGAUUAUUUCCCCGAUUUGAACUCCCCUAUAUUCACAUGACAGUAACCUUACUAAUUACUUUGAACUUCCAAGAUAAUUCAAUAUGAUCACAAUACAGACAUACAUACCUACACAAAUACAUACAUAACAAAAAGAUGAAAUCUUUGAUUGUUGUGAUAACACUGAUGAACGUAGUGUAGCAAAAAUUUUAGUUAGGACAUCGUUGUAGUAAAUAACACUUUUUUUUUUCAUCUUGUAACUUAGGUAUCUUUUAGACAUGGACUAAAUAUUCAAUUUUAGCAAAUUUAUAAUCUUAUGAAAAAAUAUCUGACCUUAUCUUGACUUUUGUAAGUAAUUUUAAACAUUAAACGAUAACUUAAAAUUUUGUAACUUUAUUUUUUAUAUAUUAGUUAAAUAAAGAUAUUUAUUCUAAAUAGUUAAUAAGCAUCAUUACAUGAGAGUGCGGCAACAGUGUCAUCUCAAAAACUAUAUUUACAGAACUAACAUUUCUUAUGAACCAUUUGUUGUGCUCUAAAAGCUUCUUUUUGUCAAGAAAAUUUAAUAAUUUAAUUAAGAUAAGGUGGAAAUUUUUAGGAAGGAGUAAAAUUUUUUUAAAAAAAAUUGAACAAUUUAAAGUAAAGAAAAAAAGAUCUUUAUAUAUAUAAAUAUUUUAAUUUUUAAACGAACUUACAAUAAGAAUCUGGAUCUGGUAUCUUUUGUUGUCAAACCAAAUUUUGACUUGCAUUAUGUCAAGUUCUAGCUCUUCACUUAGCUGCUCUAUUACAUGAUUUUCUGAAUUUGACAUCUUGCUAAACAUCCUGAUGAGAAAACAAAAAUUAUAAUGUUAUUAAAACAAUUGAUAAAAAAUCAAAAGAGUAACAAAACAAAGAGGAAAAUUAAUAAAUGACAAGAAAGGAAAAUCGAAAGAGAUAUGAACAUCUUUUGUCAUUAAACAAUUAAAAAAAAACGUUGCUAAUCCUAUUUUGGAUUAAAAAAUUCUUGUUAUUACCUUUAAGAAAUUCAUAAAGUUACUUCUUUGUUUUUUACUAGCGUUUGAGCAUGGAUUAAAAAUUUAUAAUUAGAUAAGAAAUUAUCCUCUUUCAUCGUUUACAUAAUUUUAUCAAUCUUUUUGUUUUACUUUCUUUAAAGUUAGUGAAGUGAGAAAUGUGAUUCUAUUUUUAGUCAUGUUAAAAACUAAAAUCUGAACAAAUCAUAAACAUUACAAAUCAAGAAAGUUAGAUACUUGAUAAAUUCGAAAUCAAAACUAAAAUGAGGACAUUUUUAAAAAUUAAAAAUGAAAAAAUAAUUUAACAACAUGAGGUAAGAUAAAUAUCUUAAAGUUAUAGAUCUCCCAUUUUAAAUAAUGAGAUGCACACAAAGCUACAAUAGAUACAGUAAAAAAAAAAAAAUCACAAAUGAGUAAAAAGUUAAAAUAAAAUUAAAAAGGAAACCAAAUUAUCUAUUUAACAAACUCACUUUUCAAGCUUUUCAAUUACUUGUUCAAAUGAAUAUCGACAUAUCAAUUUUUUAUUUUUUUAUCAGAAUUUAACCCAACAUUUUCAUCAUAUUGAGAAGCCAUGAAUGAUCGAAAAAUUAAAUGAGAGAAAAGAUAAAAAUGUGACGGACAAAUAAAGAGUUUUCAUUAAAGAAAAUAUAUAUAGAAAAAAGUAUGACCCAUAUUGAAUUUUUUAAAUCUUUCACAUGAAAAAUGUUUGACUAUUCAUGGAUUUUUGUUAACAAAUAUUUAGUUUGAGAUUAUGUAGUCUAACUACUCAUUAAUAUCACCACGAAAAGUCAAAUAUUUUUUUAAAAAACUUAUGUCAUGGAUAAUAUUUAGUUUAAUUAAAAUAAAGAUGAAGUGCUUAAUUUAUUUAAUGCAAUUUUUGGUGUUGACAUCUAAAUUUGACUACACUUUUCUAUUCUAGUCAAUUUUUUUUCUUUCUUUACAUUUUAUAUAUUUAAGGAUCAAAUAUACACUUAAAUUAGUUCAAUUUUUGAGUUUUACAUAUCAAAAUUAUUGAAGAUGUGAAUUUUUUAUCUGAUCUAUCACCCAAUAGUUAGUGAAAUACACUUUGAUUUUGAUUAGAUCAAAUAUUUGUCUACAAACACUUCAACGCGCAUUUGGAUAAAAAAUAUUUGUCCACCUAAAACGUAUAAAGGGUUCAUUUACUGAUAUAUAAUCUUUUAUUUUUUAAAAAAUAUUUUUCAGUUGAUUCUUUAAGACGUUAAACUCUUCGCUUUCAAGUUAAAGAUAUCAACACUAUGACUGAUACGAGACCACAACUGAAGGUGGAAAAGAAAAUGUUGGAUGUCACUAUAAAAAAUAAAUUAAUUUAUAUUGUAACACUUUUUAACUUAUAACCUAAUAACCUAAUAUUAAUUUAUUUAACUUUGGCACUGUGGUUAUUUUUUCACAUGGAGCGCGUGGCAGAAUUCUUAAAUAAAAAAAAAAGUAAUACACACAUUAUCAGAUAUUAAUUGAGGUGUGUUUUCUAACUAUUAGGUGAUUUAGUUCAUAUAAAAAACUCAUACUUCUAAUAAUUCAGUAUGAAACUUAAAAAAUUAAAAUAAUUUAGAUGUAUAUUUGACUUUUAGUUCUUUUUAUAAAAAUUAAAAACUAGAAUUUGUUAAAUACUGGAUGGAAAUUAUAAGUCCUAACUUUUGUCAGAUUUAAAAGAUUAGAAAUGCUGAAGAGUAAUCAAGGGUGGAUGUUGAAUUUCAACUAGAUCAUGAAUUAAAAUUUUAAGAUUCUUAGUAUUAAACUCAUCAUAUUAAUUCUAAAAAUUAUUAUUUCAUAUUUAUUGAUUUUUUUUUUUUAAUUUUGCCAACAAUUCUUCUCAUCUGCUCCCCACCCCACCCUCGCUCCCACACACAAUCACCACCCUGUACGCCUCAUCAAUUUGGAUUGAUAGAAAUAAUGGAUAAAUUAUAACGUUAAAAAUAAAAUUGAGAUUAGAAUAAAUUCUUUGUAAAAAAACAUUUGUAAUUUGUGAGCGACCCAUAUUUCAAAAUAAAAGCUCCUUGAGCAACUUUUUCGUUGGUGUGCAAUUGAGAAACUAUAUACAAUGUGUAAGAUCUUUCUAUAAUGUGAGGUCUUUUAGAAAAAAAUUGUUCAAGCUUGAUCUAAAACGGAUAAUAUCACACUAUGUAAGAGUAUAUUUGGUCUGGCUAAGCCCAACAACUGCUAUCAGCUAUCAGAUUCAGCUGGUUGAGUAUGAUGAUGUAGUGGAAUGAUGGGGGUAACAAGGCUCGAUUCGCUUACUCUUACAAGUUUAGAGAUGCGCACACAUGAAGAAGCUAGAUGGGGGGCUUUGGUUGCUAUAAAAAUACUCUAACGAUGUGAAUGACAUUCAAUGAAUCUUAGUGACUCAUGGAUCGUGGUGAUAGACUGCGUGAAACUUUGAUUGAGGGAGAGAUCGUUGGUGUGCAAACAAAUGUCCCAAAUGAACACCUUCCUUCAACUCUCUUCUAUUAUAUAAUUGAACACUAACCUACACUAGUCCUAAACUACGCUCCAAUGUUUUACCCGAUGCCUCGGGCCUUGAUCACAAACGUCCUCCACCAACAUAAUAUGUCGGGGCAUUUCUCGGUGAAUAAAUACAAUGAGCCGCGGGGCAUUCCCCAGCUAAAUUAAUACAUUCAAUGAAAUACGAUAAAACUAGAAAAAACAUUCAACACACACAUUUAAAUAUUCGACGCAUUCAACAACACAUCACUCCUAAAUUUGCCUACCCGAACCUAAACAUUUUUGCCAAUCCAAUUCAACUUAUCAUGGUACUAUCAAAUUCACAAUUAGACGUCAAGUAAUAAUAACAAUGAAUCGAAACAACUAAUCUAUUCAUCUUUUAUCAAAUUUUGAUCCCCUGAUCCAUUAACCAAAUUAUCACAUGCUUCGAUUAACAAUUCAAGUUUUCAACAUUCAACUCCAACAUCAAACAAUACCUAACAAAGAUUCACACAUACCGAACACGCAAAUCAUUCCCAAUUACGUAAAAUUAGAGGAAGAGAAGAUAGAAUUGGACCUCAAUGCCGCUUUCCAAACCGAUGUAUUAUUUGGAUUAACCCAAUAGAAUCUGCGUCCGAAAACCUCAAACUCGACCUCAAUCAAAACCAAACUCUCAAUAAACCCAAAGCUGAACAACCUCAAAAAUAUAACAAUCCCAAAUCAAAACACCAAAGGACCAAUCGAAUCUAAAACAGAGAAAACAACUAUUAGCUAUUUCGAAUUCGGCGUUACUGACAUCAACGGGGUUAUGCCUUUCAUUGAAAACGGAGAAAAUCUUAUUUUUAAUUUAAUAAUAAAUUGCAAUAUUGCAAUCUAAUUAAAAGUUUAUAGAGCCCUUAGCUUCUACUGUUCGUCAAGCUCUUUUUGUUUCAUAGAGUUGAUAGCACUUAGUAUUUUUCCAUUCUGCAAAAGAAAAGAGAAAAUAAAACACGUCAAUAAUAUAUAGGACUUACGUUAUACAUACUGAAGUCUUAAACUACAGGCGAAAUCCUAUCGACACACCUUAACUAUACGGGGUUGAGGUGACAUGAGGAA
rnacentral:lncRNA from 1 species